UACGAAGGGGGCAAGCGUUAAUCGGAAUUACUGGGCGUAAAGCGUGCGUAGGCGGUUUCUUAAGUCUGCUGUGAAAUCCCCGGGCUCAACCUGGGAAUGGCAGUGGAUACUGGGAGGCUAGAGUGUGUCAGAGGAUGGUGGAAUUCCCGGUGUAGCGGUGAAAUGCGUAGAGAUCGGGAGGAACAUCAGUGGCGAAGGCGGCCAUCUGGGACAACACUGACGCUGAGGCACGAAAGCGUGGGGAGCAAACAGG
rnacentral:rRNA from 1 species